rnacentral:rRNA from 1 species
GGGCUGGGGUGCAACUCCACACCAUUGUGACGUUACCCAAACCGUUGCUUCGGCGGGCGGCACCACCCCGGUGCCCCCACCAAGGGCCCCUAGCGGGCGCCCGCCGGAGACCCAUAACUCCUGUAUUUUACGCGGCCUCUCUGAGUCUUUGUACUUAAAUAAGUCAAAACUUUCAACAACGGAUCUCUUGGUUCUGGCAUCGAUGAAGAACGCAGCGAAAUGCGAUAAGUAAUGUGAAUUGCAGAAUUCAGUGAAUCAUCGAAUCUUUGAACGCACAUUGCGCCCGCCAGUAUUCUGGCGGGCAUGCCUGUUCGAGCGUCAUUUCAACCAUCAAGCCCCCGGGCCUGUGUUGGGGACCUGCGGCCGCCGCAGGCCCCGAAAAGCAGUGGCGGGCUCGCUGUCACCCCGAGCGUAGUAGUAAUCACCUCGCUUAGGGCGUGCUGUGGGCGCCGGCCGUUAAAAACCAAUAUACCCCCCAAAGGUUGACCUCGGAUCAGGUAGGAAUACCCGCUGAACUUAAGCAUAUCAAAAGGCCGGAGGAA